UUAACAUUAUAAACACCUGACAUUUAAAAACAAACAGCAAAACACUAAGAACAUUUUGUAGUCUGAUGAAAAUUACGAACAAAAACUAAUGAAUCAUGUUUCUAUUGUGUCCAACAGCAGUUGUGGUGCAACCCACAGCAUCUACAUUUACCAGAAUGAUACAGGAAAUGAUGUGAGAGUGAAACUGGCAGGUGCUUCCUGUAAAAAACUAAAACAUAAAACUAAAUGAAGGCUUGGCUGUUCCCUUGACGGCCUCGAGAGUGUGGUGCAGCUCCAGUUCACAUCUCCGAGCGGCGCUGGAUGAAUUUAAACUACAGCGCAGCGUGAGGCUAUUAAUAGCUCCUUUGCUGUGUGAGACAACAAUGAGCCGACAUGCUCACAAUAAGCGCACUGUAGCUGUGGAGAUGCACGAAGGCUACAUGGAUUAGGACCGGGUCCCUUGUGAUCCGGGACAUUAGAUCUGCUCUUUGACACUGCAGCAAGGCAGAAUGAGAGCAGGGAGGCCAUAUGGUCCGUAGGAGAGGACUUUAAUUUGGACAUGUUCAGAGGGAAAACAUACAUGCUUCUUGUGGAUUCUUUCUAAGACUUAAGGCAGGGUUUUUCUGCAGGUUCCACAAACUCAAAUUUAAGAUUUCUUAAAACCGUUAUGAGUGAAACUUAAGAGCUACUGUAUGUCUCAACAGAAAUGUAGGAAUUUCGUCCAGCCAACCGGCGAUAAACUUGCACCAAGAUAGAUGCAAAAUAAGCUAGUUAGCUAGCUGUUAGCAGCGUCACAGAAUGCAGUGAAGAUGUUGCUUGAGAUAUUAAGCAAAAGGUUGAGACUUUUCUCAGGAGAGAAAGAAAAUACAUAAAAUAUACAAUUAAUUAGUCCUGCCAAGACAAAAUUUAAGACCUGUGAUUAACAUAUUUACUUUUUAAAAUUAAUUUAAGAUAUUUUAAGGAUCUGUGGACAUCCUGCAAGAGUUGAAAUAAGUUCCUGAAAGAUAGCUGUGUCUCUCCUUCCUGCUUUCUGCUCUUUUAAGAUCGAGAGAAAAACUAUUUUUACUUUGAGCCAUCUGUUGUUGCACGAUAGGGUUUGUCCAGUGAUCAGUAUUGAACAUUUCUGGGCAUCUUAUUCCACAAACAACACCGCCUCAAUGACAAGACGCACUCUGAGGGUCUUCUGUUGAGCUGAUCAGCUGUUAAACAUCUGCGCUCCCACUGUAGUUUUGUUUCUGUCACCUUCCUCAUCUCGUCCCCUCUCUGCCCCGACACUCAGGUUCUGCUGUGGGCAAAAUCACAGGACUGCCACAGCUAGCUUUGGAUGGACGCUUUGAGGGGUUGCUGUGGUGAAGGUAGUUGCUAUGGUGGCCCUCUCCCAGGGGGAAGCUUUUUUUUGUGAUGGGUGUCGGUACAAAGCCAAAGGCUAGGCCACAGCAUCAAUAAUGAGAAAGGGGGAGGUGAAUAUAUUUUUCCCAUGGUAAGGAUUCAUGAAACAUUUAAAAACUAGAUGAAGUGACAGCAGCUCUGGACUGAAAUGUCUAAAAAUAUUUAUUUUUCCUCACAAACCCUCAGGAGACAUCUGAGAGGGAGCGAGUGAGGCAGAAGGAGCACAAAGACAGAAGACUGUGGAGCAAAAAUGGCACAAGGAGGAUUGGCUGGUGGCCAGAACCAGAUGGUCCUCAACGGCUGGUUGGCAGCUUAAAAACCCCAUCCUUGUCUGGCAAGUGAACACAUCAUAUCAAAAUGUGUAGCUGUUGAAUAGCAAGAAUCAAAUAAUGAAUUAAGUAACCUAGAUCAAAUGCAGAUUCCUUAGAGGACAGUUUGUGUGCUUUCCUGUGCUUAUUAAAAUUUGAAUAAUUAUAAGUUUUGAAUCUUUGUUUGGUCUUUAAGACCCAGUUAAAGUGCCAAAGGUCCAGUUUAACGUGGACCUAAAGUUGCCUGGAGGUUGUAAAAUGAGCCUAUUAUUAUUUUUUUGAUCUAUCAGAACAAAAAUAAAGCUUGUGAAUAAAUUAUAAAUAAGUGUAAAAUCCCUGCAUUUAUUAAUCAGUUUAGACUUUUGCCCUUUAGAGUGAAAGCUGGAAAAAUGUCUGGAAAUCAAACAUUAACCAUAUUUAAUUUUCUUUUUUUUAAUGACUUAUCAUACAGGAAAGCAGGGUAGGUUUCCGCCUCCCUUUCAUUUUGGAUACCGUCUAUAUUUCAUGUUUGCCUUUUAUUGUGGAAUUCAUUAAUAUCAUUAAUAAGGAAAUUUAAAUAUAUCAAUUUAAAUUGUUUCUAGUUUCUAGAAACAAGUUUCUAGUGGCAUUUUCUAGUGGCAAAAUGAUAAAAGCUAAUUCCAUACUUUUCCACGCUGCAUAGGAUCAACAACACUCUUCAGUGUAGAAGCUGAGUGAAGAUGACUCAAAGCUAGCAAUUUUCAGUAUUUCACUGAGGGGUUUAAAAUCAAUUAACCCUCACAUCACCUCUGCUGCUAAACUAAGGAGGGCUCAUAGUGGGAUGUAUGGAAAAACAUAUUUUAAAUUAAUUUCUUCUAUCUUCCUACAUUAAGAACCUGAUGGAAAAGCUUUACAAAAAGUGCAGAUCAAACAGAAAUCAGCUCAAAACUAAAGGCUUAAGGUGCAUUUCAAACCUACUAUCAAACUAUCAAAUACCACACUUGCUGUGAAAUAUUAAGCGGAUAAAGAAAAAAGAACAGCUUAAAGAUGUAAAGUAUCUUUCGUUGUAUUAAGGAACCUUGUAUUAAUGUUUCAUUAAUGCAACAGUGCGUUCACUGUUGCAUUAAUGGACCCAAACCAAGUGAAAACUAUGAAGGAUGUUCUGUUCUGAUAUGUGCGAUUACUACUACUGUGUUGGCAUUGCAUAAUUAAUCUGCUGUUUAAAGAAUUAUUCUUCACAGCAAACCAUCUCAAAGGAAAUCAGACGACAUUAAAGUGAACCAUGUCUGUGUGUCUGAAGUGGCAACUUGGCAAUUGAGUUUUUUUUUGUUUAUUACUGGCACGACUUGUGGAAAAUAGCUCCACUUCCUUUUCCCAGUCAGAACACUGUACUUAUUUUUUUUUUAAGAAAAAUAUUGAAAAAUUCUAACUAGCAGCUAAGAUUAGGUCUUACACAAAAGAUAAACAUGAUAAAUCAUUGAUCUUAUCAGUGCUGGCUUCUCUCAGAUGGACAUGUUACAAUGGCUUGUUUAUUUUUUUCUUCAGCAUUGGAAAGAGCUUGUUUUCAUACUGACACUUUGAACCAAUCAUGUAAAGGGCAAAAUAAACACACUUCAAUUUAAA